rnacentral:snRNA from 1 species
AGAUAUAAACAUGAUCUGGCUGUGAACAUCUGUCACCCUAUUGGUCACCAAGUUUAAUUUGGUUGAUUUGGUUGGCUUGUUGGGUGACCUCUUUCUCCAUCAAAACUCUGUGUUCAUCCUUCCAAAGGCUGCACACUUGGUGGAAAAGGAUGGCAAUUCCAGACAGAAGGAGUGUACCAUUUCUGGUCAACGGCUGCGUUUCUCUGCUAGAAUUUCCACUAAAUUCAUUCCGCUUCUAUCUGUUGUGAUCAAUUUGUUUACAUAUAUUGUAGUAUAAAAUGCAUCAGAUUUUUGGAAUAGAAAUGGAAUGGAAAGCUGGAUAUUCUU